rnacentral:rRNA from 1 species
CCUACGGGAGACUGCAGUGAGGAAUAUUGGUCAAUGGACGAGAGUCUGAACCAGCCAAGUAGCGUGAAGGAUGACUGCCCUAUGGGUUGUAAACUUCUUUUAUAAAGGAAUAAAACGAGGCACGUGUGCCUUUUUGCAUGUACUUUAUGAAUAAGGAUCGGCUAACUCCGUGCCAGCAGCCGCGGUAAUACGGAGGAUCCGAGCGUUAUCCGGAUUUCUUGGGUUUAAAGGGAGCGUAGAUGGGUUGUUAAGUCAGUUGUGAAAGUUUGCGGCUCAACCGUAAAAUUGCAAUUGAUACUGGCAGUCUUGAGUACAGUUGAGGUAGGCGGAAUUCGUGGUGUAGCGGUGAAAUGCUUAGAUAUCACGAAGAACCCAGAUUGCGAAGGCAGCUUACUAAACUGUGACUGACAUUGAUGCUCGAAAGUGUGGGUAUCAAACAGGAUUGGAUACCCUGGUAGUC